rnacentral:rRNA from 1 species
UACGUAGGGUGCAAGCGUUAAUCGGAAUUACUGGGCGUAAAGCGUGCGCAGGCGGUUAUGCAAGACAGAUGUGAAAUCCCCGGGCUCAACCUGGGAACUGCAUUCGAGACUGCAUGGCUAGGGUGCGGAAGAGGGAAGCGGAAUUUCCGGUGUAGCGGUGAAAUGCGUAGAUAUCGGAAGGAACACCAGUGGCGAAAGCGGCUUCCUGGUCCAGCACCGACAUUCAGGCACGAAAGCGUGGGGAGCAAACAGG